GGCGGCUCAUAUCAGUGCUUCCCCUAUCCUCUUCCCAUGGCAGCAUGGCUUCCCUGUCCUGGCUUUCAUCCUCAGAACAGGAAAUCUCAACUUUGCCCACACUUCUUGAGAUGGUUUAAGACAGCUUUAUAUAUGAACACCUGAAAACAAGACAGCUUGAGAUUCCAGGAACCUUUCUCAAGCCCACAACAGGGAAGAUAUCUGCCUUGUUCUUUCUUUCUUUCAUCUACAACUACUGCAGACGUUUUGCUCCAGGAUUAUAAGAUUGUGUCUCUAGGAAUGAGAGAGCCUCUGGGAAAGUACUACGUUCCUUAUCUGUCAUUUUGGGAACUGACAUAAACUGCCAUUGAGUUCAUCUGUAUUUCCUAGAAUACGCUCAGGACUUCACCAGAUCAGACCUAUGUAAAAACAAACACAUACAAAAUACUGGAUGUACCCAAAUUUCCUGACUCACUUUAUCAAAUUCACAGCUGUAUAGUUCCAGGUAAAGAAGUAGAUAUACUAUUCUUAUUAGUUUUUCUAUUUCAGAAAACAUGUAAGAUUGAAGACUGUAACUUAACUGAAGCCAGGGAUACGAAAAAAGAGGAAGUAGAAGAAUAAUGUACCAAUAAAAUGUUGACAGUUCUCUGUUUUUUGCCAAUUGUUGAUAAAAUGACAGACGGUAAUGUUUAUGAAAUGUAUAAUUCAAAGCAAAUUUGCCUAGAUAACCAAG
ensembl:lncRNA